rnacentral:rRNA from 1 species
UACGUAGGUGACCAGCGUUGUCCGGAUUUACUGGGCGUAAAGAGCGCGCAGGCGGUCGUUCAAGUCGAGUGUGAAAGCCCCCGGCUCAACUGGGGAGGGUCAUUCGAUACUGAUCGACUCGAAGGCAGGAGAGGGAAGUGGAAUUCCCGGUGUAGUGGUGGAAAUGCGUAGAUAUCGGGAGGAACACCAGUGGCGAAGGCGACUUCCUGGACCAGAACUGACGAUCAGCUCGAAGCGUGGGAGCAACAGGAUAGAACCGGU